rnacentral:misc_RNA from 1 species
GAAAUGCGAUAAGUAAUGUGAAUUGCAGAAUUCAGUGAAUCAUCGAAUCUUUGAACGCACCUUACGCUCCUUGGUAUUCCUUGGAGCAUGCCUGUUUGAGUAUCAUGAAAUCUUCAAAGUAAAUCUUUUGUUAACUCAAUUGGUUUCUACUUUGGUAUUGGAGGUCUUUGCAGCUUCACACCUGCUCCUCUUUGUUCAUUAGCUGGAUCUCAGUGUUAUGCUUGGUUCCACUCGGCGUGAUAAGUUAUCUAUCGCUGAGGACACUGUAAAAGGUGGUCAAGGUAAAUGCAGAUGAACCGCUUCUAAUAGUCCAUUGACUUGGACAAUACUUUUAUGAUCUGAUCUCAAAUCAGGUAGGACUACCCGCUGAACUUAAGC